GACGAACGCUGGCGGCGUGCUUAACACAUGCCAGUCGAACGGAAAGGCCCCUUUGGGGGUACUCGAGUGGCGAACGGGUGAGUAACACGUGAGUAACCUGCCCUUGACUUCGGGAUAACUUCAGGAAACUGGGGCUAAUACCGGAUAGGAAUCCUUGCUGCAUGGUGGGGGUUGGAAAGCUUCGGCGGUUUUGGAUGGACUCGCGGCUUAUCAGCUUGUUGGUGGGGUAGUGGCUUACCAAGGCUUUGACGGGUAGCCGGCCUGAGAGGGCGACCGGCCACAUUGGGACUGAGAUACGGCCCAGACUCCUACGGGAGGCAGCAGUGGAGAAUAUUGCACAAUGGGCGGAAGCCUGAUGCAGCAACGCCGCGUGCGGGAUGACGGCCUUCGGGUUGUAAACCGCUUUCAGCAGGGGCGAAGCUUGUGGUGACGGUACCUGCAGAAGAAGCACCGGCUAACUACGUG
rnacentral:rRNA from 1 species